AGUAUGCCCACUACCUAUC
rnacentral:miRNA from 1 species